GAUGAACGCUGGCGGCGUGCCUAAUACAUGCAAGUCGAGCGAAUGGAUUGAGAGCUUGCUCUUAUGAAGGUAGCGGCGGACGGGUGAGUAACACGUGGGUAACCUGCCCAUAAGACUGGGAUAACUCCGGGAAACAGGGGCUAAUACCGGAUAACAUUUUGAACCGCAUGGUUCGAAAUUGAAAGGCGGCUUCGGCUGUCACUUAUGGAUGGACCCGCGUCGCAUUAGCUAGUUGGUGAGGUAACGGCUCACCAAGGCAACGAUGCGUAGCCGACCUGAGAGGGUGAUCGGCCACACUGGGACUGAGACACGGCUCAGACUCCUACGGGAGGCAGCAGUAGGGAAUCUUCCGCAAUGGACGAAAGUCUGAUGGAGCAACGCCGCGUGAGUGAUGAAGGCUUUCGGGUCGUAAAACUCUGUUGUUAGGGAAGAACAAGUGCUAGUUGAAUAAGCUGGCACCUUGACGGUACCUAACCAGAAAGCCACGGCUAACUACGUGCCAGCCGCCGCGGUAA
rnacentral:rRNA from 1 species